ACAAGAGUGGUUCUGCAGAACUUCACUCUACGCUCAUUAGUUUUCAUCAAGAGAACCAUUAUAGUUGGAACUUCUUUGAACAGCAUGACCCCUUUCUGCAUUCUUUGCCCAUAUUUGGUUAGAGCAUCAACACAUUGAUUCACUUCUUUAAAGAUAUGCCGAAUCACCAUUUUUUGCGGUUUUAUCAACAACUCCUUGAUCGACCUCACCAGGAAAGUUCUAACGUGAGUCUCAACCGUCGUACUCUGGACGAGAUUAAUAGCACAUCUCGGGUCAGAUUUAAUUUCCAGCGAUGAAUCAUCCUUUGGAGUCUCUGAUUAUGCCCCUAGUGGCUCCUUUGCUAUCAGGUUGAAAUACAGAACCAUCAACGCUGAGCUUGGCCCAUCCUCUUUUCGGCGACUUUCACCCAAUCAAGACUGUUCUAGUAAGACGAAGUGUUCUUUUAUUCUGCUCUGUGAUAUCCAGAAUGUGGUUGUAGUUCUCUGCCAAGUUCCUAGUCUUGUGAUGCAUCUUAUUAUUCUGGGUAUUUAGGUUGCUAAACACUAAUUCCUUUCUGCAUUGCCAAGCUAAGUCGCAGGUUGUCACGAAAGUGAUGGUCCACGGAGUACCAUCCUGGGAUGGAGUAUGUUUACUCAAGUUAUUUUAAUCCAUUCUGAAUAAGAAAGGGUAAAAAACUCUUGUUAUAAACUACUAUUGACAAUGCUAUUCCAAACAAUGCGGAUAAAAGAGCAGUCACACAAUGUAUAGAGCAAAGUCUCUUCUUCUCCUUGGCAUCUUGGGCAGUUGCCAUCUUUGAUUUUCAGGAUGGGGAUGCCGUAACGUUGACAACAAUCCUGAAAGGCCUCUGUCUCUGUGGUAAUGUUCAAAAAGCACUGCACUUUCAUGCCACAGUGCUGACUUAUGGAUUUCACUUCGACCAAGUCACUUAAGGGAUCUUGAUCAACGAGCCAGUUCUUGU